GAAAGAUGCCUAACUAUUUUUGCGAUGUGUUCCUAAUAUGUACUAUAAGUGUAUUGGGAACAUUUUGCAUUCAUAGUUUUGUGUCAAUCAU
rnacentral:pre_miRNA from 12 species